rnacentral:lncRNA from 1 species
GUUAGGCAUCUCUCUACUCAACAUUAGGUUAUACCUUCAUCCCUCUAUGUUCACAGUUGAAGGGAUGAGAGAUGGAGGGAGGGGUAGAGGAGGGGUGGAGGGAGGGAUGGAGGAGGGAUGAAGGAGGGAUGGAGGGAGGGGUAGAGGAGGGAUGAAGGAGGGAUGGAGGGAUGGAAGGAGGGAGGGAGUAGGGAUAGAGGAGGGAUGGAUGGAGGGAGGGAGGGAGGGAGGGAUAGAGGAGGGAUGAAGGGGGAUGGAGGGAGGAGGGGUGAGGACGAAGGAGGGGUGAGGAGGCGAGAGGAAGAGAAGGGAGGAAGCAUCUUCAGACUAUUGAGAUUCAGCCGGCCUGAAUUCCCUCCAUUAUUCAAACAAUUCAGUUAGUGCUCUUGACAGAUAGCAUUUAGCCAACUGUUAGCUCUAGACAGACAGCUAGCUAACCGUUAGCUCUAGACAGACAGCUAGCUAACCGUUAGCUCUAAACAGACAGUUAGCUAACCGUUAGCCAACCACAGUUAGCCAACCGUUAGCCAACCGUUAGCUCUAGACAGUUAGCUAACCGUUAGCUCUAGACAGACAGCUAGCUAACCGUUAGCUCUAGACAGUUAGCCAACCGUUAGCUCUUGACAGAUAGCAUUUAGCUAACCGUUAGCUCUAGACAGAUAGCAUUUAGCUAACCGUUAGCGCUAGACAGACAGCUAGCUAACCGUUAGCUCUAGACAGACAGCUAGCUAACCGUUAGCUCUAGACAGACAGCUAGCUAACCGUUAGCUCUAGACAGAGUUAGCCAACCGUUAGCUCUUGACAGAUAGCAUUUAGCUAACCGUUAGCUCUAGACAGAUAGCAUUUAGCUAACCGUUAGCUCUAGACGGACAGCUAGCUAACCGUUAGCUCUAGACAGACAGCUAGCUAACCGUUAGCAUUUAGCUAACCGUUAGCUCUAGACAGACAGCUAGCUAACCGUUAGCUCUUGACAGAUAGCAUUUAGCUAACCGUUAGCUCUAGACAGAUAGCAUUUAGCUAACCGUUAGCUUAGCGC